rnacentral:rRNA from 1 species
UACGGAGGGUGCAAGUGUUAUUCGGAAUCACUGGGCGUAAAGAGCACGUAGGCGGAUGGGUAAGUCAGAUGUGAAAUCCCGGGGCUCAACUUCGGAACUGCAUUUGAUACUGCCCGUCUUGAGUGUGGUAGAGGGGGAUGGAAUUCCCGGUGUAGAGGUGAAAUUCGUAGAUAUCGGGAGGAACACCAGAGGCGAAGGCGAUCCCCUGGGCCAUUACUGACGCUGAGGUGCGAAAGCGUGGGGAGCAAACAGGAUUAGAAACCCCAGUAGUCC